rnacentral:tRNA from 1 species
GGGCAGAUACCCAAGUGGUCAACGGGAACAGACUGUAAAUCUGUUGCGCUCGCGCUUCGUAGGUUCGAAUCCUGCUCUGCCCA